rnacentral:ncRNA from 1 species
UCAAAGGUGCCUUUCGGUGAAAAGGGAAUCGGGUGAAAAUCCCGGACAGAAUCCGCUGCUGUGAAUGGCAUUAUGCGCUGUUUCAAUCGGUUAUCCACUGUUCAAAUAAGUGAAUGGGAAGGGCGAAACUGCGUGCCAUGAGUCAGAAGACCUGCCUUUUGUGUG